rnacentral:rRNA from 1 species
CCUACGGGUGGCAGCAGUGGGGAAUAUUGGGCAAUGGGCGCAAGCCUGACCCAGCAACGCCGCGUGAAGGAAGAAGGCUUUCGGGUUGUAAACUUCUUUUCUCAGGGACGAAGAAAGUGACGGUACCUGAGGAAUAAGCCACGGCUAACUACGUACCAGCAGCCGCGGUCAUACGUAGGUGGCAAGCGUUAUCCGGAUGUAUUGGGUGUAAAGGGCGUGUAGGCGGGAGUGCAAGUCAGAUGUGAAAACUCAGGGCUCAACCCUGAGACUGCAUUUGACACUGUGAUUCUUGAGUGCUGGAGAGGCAAGCGGAAUUCCGUGUGUAGCGGUGAAAUGCGUAGAUAUACGGAGGAACACCGGUGGCGAAGGCGGCUUGCUGGACAGUGACUGACGCUGAGGCGCGAAAGCGUGGGGAGCAAACAGGAUUAGAUACCCGGGUAGUC